CACGUAGGGUGCGAGCGUUGUCCGGAAUUAUUGGGCGUAAAGAGCUCGUAGGCGGUGUGUCGCGUCGGCCGUGAAAACCUGCAGCUUAACUGUGGGCGUGCGGUCGAUACGGGCAUCACUGGAGUUCGGCAGGGGGAGACUGGAAUUCCUGGUGUAGCGGUGAAAUGCGCAGAUAUCAGGAGGAACACCGGUGGCGAAGGCGGGUCUCUGGGCCGAUACUGACGCUGGAGACGCGAAAGCGUGGGGAGCGAACAGG
rnacentral:rRNA from 1 species